GGAGGAAGACAAGCGACUUGUAAUUCGAGAAAUUGCUGUUCAAGAUGGCGGCAUAAAAACUUGUACUGUAGUUGUGGAAUACGUGUAAUAUCUAUUUAAUAAUUUAAAGUACAGAUUUUAACAACUUUAACUAAAGAUGAGCCCAGUUGACUCGCAUUCCGAUGCCUCUGUUGAAGUGUUAAAUGACAAGAAAGUAGCAGAGAAUGAAGGGGCUGAUAUUGUAAAGAAAUCUAAGAAAAAGAAACAUAAGCAUCAUCAUAAACACAAGAAACACUUAUGUGAUAAAGACGGGAAACAUGAAAACCCAGUUGACUCGCAUUCCGAUGCCUCUGUUGAAGUGUUAAAUGACAAGAAAGUAGCAGAGAAUGAAGGGGCUGAUAUUGUAAAGAAAUCUAAGAAAAAGAAACAUAAGCAUCAUCAUAAACACAAGAAACACUUAUGUGAUAAAGACGGGAAACAUGAAAAAAAACACCACAAGAAAAAGAAGCACAAGAAAGCUGCCGAAGUCCCUGAUGCCGCUGAAGAAAUUAAGCCAAAGGAAAACAUAUCUAUUAAAAUAUCAUCUGAUGGCUCAAAGAGAGAAGUCAGAGAAGCAAGUAAACCAAAAAGUGAGGAAAAAAUUGAAUCAAAAGAGACCAAAAUGUUGAACGGGAGUGACACGGCUCAUAAAGUAGAGCAGAAAGUCAAGACUGUAGAGCCUCAGAAGAAACAUGACAGCAGUAAAAAUGGUGAUACAAAAAAUGAGAUAAAAGACAAAAGUGUAAAAGAUGCUAGUGUAAAAGUUACUGUGGGGAAGGAUGAUAGUGUCAAAAGUUUAGGAACUAAAGAAAAUGGUGAGAAGUGCUUAGUUGUGAAGAAUCAUAAUUCAAAAGAAUCACAUGUGGUUGAUAUAGUUAGUAAGAAUAAAGGAAACAAAGAAACUGGCUUGAAACCUUCACCAGCUAAAACACAUUUAAGUACAAAGAGUGAAGACUCAUCUGAAGAUAACGACAUUAGAGCUAAAGACUCAGAGUCUGACAUAGACAUUACUGUAAUAGAAGAUGACAUUGAUCUUGAGGAUCUCAUGCGACAAAAGGCACUGCUUCAAGCGAGACUUGGAGCAUAUAUGUCUGAAGAAGAUGAUGAAGAUGAUGAUGAUCGAUCUGAACUCCGUGGAGAUGCUAAACCAGUUCCUGAAAUAAUAACUUUAGGUGAUGAUGACUCUGACGUAAAAGGGCAUUCAAGUAAGAGAAAACAUGAAAGGAAGAGACGUCGGCAUAGCAGGAGCAAGAGCAGACAUAGAGAAGAUAAACGAGAUGAUAAACGGAAAGAAACCAGAGAAGAGAGAGACCGUGACAGGAAAAGGAGCACGUCAGAUGUAGUGCGAGAUGUGAAGAGAAUCAGAGAGAGUCAUAGUUCAUCCAGACGAAAAUCUGCUGAUAGAUCUCCUCUUAGGUCAUAUGAUGGAAGAAGAUCAUCAGAUAGAAAAAUUAGGGAUGAUGUUUCUAGAAGAACUGGCAUUGCCAAGGAAUCUUCAAGAAGAAGAAGCAGCAGAAGCCGUUCUCCAGUUCAUCAUGGUUCAUCACGUUCAUAUAGCAGAACUCGAGAAGCGAACAGUCACCGCUCACUGGACAGAGAUCGUGAACGUGAUCGAGAAAGAGAACGUGAGAGGGAACGGGACCGAGAACGUGAGAGGGAACGUGAACGUGAAAGAGAGCGGGAAAGGGAACGUGAUAGGGAACGUGAAAGGGAACGUGAGCGAGAAAGACUUAGACUUGAACGUGAUAGAGAACGUGAGCGUCAUCGUGAUCAUGACAGAGAUCACGAUCGUGACCACAGUCGACGACAUGGCCGUUCCAGGAGUAGGGAUCGACAUCAUUCAUCCAGAGGUCACUCCAGUAGGUCCCGUCAUGGUAAAGGGAGAGGAGAAAGAAAUGAUAAGUACAAAGACAGCCUGUCAGAAGGCUUGAAAGCUGAAAAAUCUUCAUCUGAAGAAGAGUGUUGUGAUUUUGACAUUGAAGAAGAUGAAGAUGAAGAACAAAUUAUUGAAAAGAGAAGGAAACAGCGGGAGGAACUACUAAGAAGGUUGGGAGCAUUAAGUGAAGAUUCUAAUGCUUCGAAUAUGAACAUGUCUGGGCAAAGCAGUGUUUGUGAGAAACCAGUUAACUUUCCUGACAAUUGCAAACCAAAUGUACCUGAAAUAAAAACUGAGACAAUUAAAACAGAAGAUGAUAAUGAGGACUCAAAACCAAAGGAGAAAAGAAAAUCACGUUUUACAUCAUAUGAUCCAGCUGCUGUUAAGGAAGAUGAAGAUGACAAAGAAAAUAAGCAAGAAAGGAAAGAUCGUAAAGAUGGGAAGAAAAAUGAAUGGGAUAUGUUUGCUGAGGGUGACAAUUUAGAGGCACUAAAUAGUCCAAGUACAGUUGACAAAGCCCAUGGUGGUCCUGAAAAUCCUAGUCUCACUGAUAACUGGGAUGAUGCGGAAGGAUAUUAUAGGGUCAGAAUUGGGGAAAUCAUGGAUGGUCGAUAUGUUGUUUAUGGAUACACUGGUCAAGGCGUAUUUUCAAAUGUAAUACGAGCUAGAGAUAGUGCAAGAGGUACUAUGGAUGUGGCUGUGAAAAUAAUACGCAACAAUGAAAUUAUGCAUAAAACAGGAUUAAAGGAACUAGAAGUUCUGAGGCGUCUGAAUGAUGCAGAUCCUGAUGACAAAUUCCACUGUUUGAGGCUAUUCCGGCAUUUUUUUCACAAAAAUCAUUUGUGCAUGGUGUUUGAACCUUUGAGUAUGAACUUGAGAGAGGUUUUGAAGAAAUAUGGAAAAGAUGUUGGGCUUCAUGUAAAAGCAGUUCGUUCUUAUAGCCAGCAGUUAUUUUUAGCCCUGAAACUUUUAAAGAAGGCAAACAUUCUCCAUGCAGAUAUUAAACCUGACAAUAUCUUAGUUAGUGAGAGUAAACUAGUAUUAAAAUUGUGUGACUUUGGAUCUGCUUCACAUGUGGCUGAAAAUGAAAUUACACCUUACUUAGUGAGCAGGUUCUACCGAGCACCUGAAAUAAUUCUAGGCAUUCCAUAUGAUUUUGGGAUUGAUAUGUGGUCAGCUGGUUGCACCAUAUAUGAACUGUAUACAGGAAAAAUCAUGUUUGCUGGAAAAACAAAUAACCAGAUGUUAAAAUUUUUUAUGGAUCUCAAGGGCAAAAUGCCAAAUAAACUGAUCAGAAAAGGAUCAUUCAAAGAACAGCAUUUUGAUAGUAAUUGUAAUUUCCUGUAUCAUGAAGUUGAUAAAGUGACUGAAAGGGAGAAAGUAGUGGUCAUGUCAACGAUUAAUCCUACUAGAGAUCUGCUCUCAGAACUGAUUGGUAAUCAGAAUCUACCGGAGGACCAAUUGAGAAAAGUAAACCAGCUGAAGGAUUUGCUUGAGAAAAUUCUCAUGUUAGACUCCUCAAAACGUGCUGCAAUCAACCAAGCUUUGACUCACCCAUUCAUCCAGGAGAAGAUAUGAGCUGUACUCAUUUGAGACCAAGUUGAAAUGUUGUUGAGAGAGAAUAGAGCAGAAUCGAGGGCUGCUCUGGCAAGGGCAGAAUGUGGCCUCAUGUCUGGGGUGUGCAGUAUCUUCAGACGUGUAACAGUUUCAAGCAUAACGACUCCUUGGUUAUGAAGAUUUACGGAUGCAGACCAUUUUACUUCUUUGGCAAAGACCAAGUUUAAGCAUCCCAAGGUAUUUCUUUUAACUCUUUUUGAAGGUUUUAAUUUAUUUUUUCUCAUAUACUGAAGUGGUAGGUGAGUAUACGAGCAUGUGAAAUGGAGAAAAUUGCAAUAUGCAGUUUUCUACAGUGUAAGCAGGAAAAACUAAGGAUUCAGGGAACACACACCUUUUAAAUUUGCUAAUUGACUUCUGGUGACACUUUGCGGACAACAUUUUAAUAUUGUUUGUGAACAUAUUAUUU